GGGUUGGCUUGCAUGCUGUCACCUAUUGUAUAUAUAAAUUCAUGCAAUUUUAGUAUGAUUUAAUUCUUCAAUUUCAUUUCUAAUUACUUGUUCAUUUCAGCUCUAUUUAACUUUGAUUGAUCUGCAUCUUAACUUCCUAUAAGCUAUGAAUUUUCUCAUCAAUUUUAGGCUGAUUUCUCCUUCAACUUGCUAGACAAAUUUAGUCAUAAUUACACCAUAUACUCUAUUAUUUCCCACUAUUUUUUCAUGCUACUUA
rnacentral:lncRNA from 1 species